CAUCACCUGAAGCAGAGAUCCCCUAGUGCUCUGAAUGUUUGCUGAAGACACACAAGUGCAGAUGUAGGUCUUUAGGCAGCUCUUCCAGAGUGUCUCUCUAGAGCCUUUCAUCUCCCUUUGGAGAUCUCAGAAAUCAUCAUGUUUUGUGUCUGUGAGCUCUUCACCUGCCUCAGAUCUUCAGGAUCAGAAAGAUUAGAGGCUACUGUUGGUUCCGUGUAGAAGUGGUGGGAGCUGGAACUAGAAGUCCAGUUAUGGAGAUGGAGAGAUGGAAGAAAGCACAAAAAAAAAAUGAUGGAUGACGAGGACACAAGCUGCAGCACCUCAUGAUCACAUUGCUUUCUUGGGAAAAUCCUGCUAACUCCAGUAGGAAUGCUGGCUAUCUUCCAGGGCAUAUCACCAAGGGGGGCAUGUUUAAACAAAGAAGAUGGCUGCUGCUUGGAGGACGUGCAUGCAGAGGUGAGUUGGGCUAGAUGACCUUUGAGGGUCCCUUCUGUAGAGGAAUUGUUACGUCACAGCCUGAACUGAUGACUGAGCACCUGGUGAAGGGGAGUGUCUGGCCCAGGGAGCACAGCUGCAAGCAAUUCACCUGUGCUUCCCACAUGACCAGAGCUCCCUGGGCUCAUUUAAAAGCUAGUCUCCAAAGAGUGGAUAUCUUCUGGAUGAGAGCCUCUUCUUGAGAAGGAGUGUUUUACAGCUGCUGACUCUCUUUGCUACUUGGUAGAAGUAUCUCCUGUUCUGAUGGGAGACCAUAGCAUUCCUCCAAGAUCCUGGCAUUCCUUGAGGCUGAGAAAAAAGAAAAAAACCGAUCUCCUAUUUCCACCCAGCUCCUCCCAAGAUCAAGCCCUGAGCAAAUGAUAAAGCCCAUCAGUCUCUGCGGUGGAUGUACAAAGGUUUAUGCUGCACAAUUCACAUGGAAGAGGAGAGAAGGUAGGAGUGAGAUGGCUACUUCCCACUUUGUACAAGACUUUGAAAAUGUAGCGGACUUAAUUAAAAUCAAACCUGUGGAUCUAUAGGGGAAAAGUCCACCUUUCCUCCUUUAACAAAAGAUAGCGCUCAGCCUGCAAAAUCUUCUCACUUGCACUUCAGGUUUAAGUCCCUUUGUAUGUCACAGGGGAAAUUCUUUUCCUUGAUAAUCUCCUUGCUGGCCCAUAGGUAAUUGAACAGCAGAUCCACACAGUAAACCCUUCAAAGGAAUUACAAGGAUUACACAUCUCAUAUUCACCUUGUUUCACCCUCUGCAGAUGUUGAAUGUGAGCCAUCAGUUUCUUCCUAAUCCAUGUAACUCAGAUACGUGGAGCUUUCUGUCAGAUACCUCACCCGUUUUCCUUCUUUGCCUAGCAACUGUUUCAGAACUGAACUCAACAUUUUAUACAAAAGUUAGCUCAAGAAGCAGACAGGGCUAUUCAAGAGAGAAAUGUGAGAAAUGGCUGUUCAAGAAGAAAGGGGGAAAGUAUAAAAUAGGUGUAGAGGAGAUUCUUAAGGGACUGGAGAGGGCUGUGGCUUGAUCCAUAGGCUGGUAUGUGCCAUCCCAUCUGUGGGCUAAAAGUCAGAUAAACACGAACCACUCUGCUGGCUGACAACACACCUUGAGCAAAGGACAGAAUGUGGUGACAUUCUGCAAGCAUUUAUUGGCUGUAGAUGCAAGGGAGAGCAGUGAAUUUAAUUAGUGUAGGCAUUUUACAGAGGUGAACUAAAAAGUACAUUGAUUAAAAAAAAAAAAAAAAAAAAGUGUUUCCUGAAUAGGCUAAGAAAAUAUCUCUAAGAGAUCUGUCAUUAAAGUCCCCUGGCAGCUAAGAAAAUAUGUGAUCUCCUUAGAAACUAGAGAAAAAAUGGUAUGACUAGAAGUUGGAAAAUCAUUACCUACUGAUUUUUAAGUAGAUGUAGAUCGUAAGGAACAUCUUGAAGGCAGUAUCUUCCCCAUAAACUAGCUGUCACAGGAUACAUGCACCGUAUUUAGAAACUAAUGCACCUGGAGUUGCAUCUCUGUGAGACAAUGCUGUGAGUCUGUUCGUCAGUUCACAGUAGCAUAGGAAGUCUUGCUGUUUUGAAAAACCACAGCACAGAUGAAGUCAGAGAAUAUGGGAUGUGUAACGGGAACUAAGCAUGUCACACCGUGAGAAGAACAUAAGAUCAUGAUUGGCUUUCUCUCAUUGUCUUUUUGUUUAUAGUGUCAGUCUCUACCUCUUCUCUACUCCGUAUCUGAUCCAGUUUGCCUUAAAGGUAAUUUCUUGAGGUCAGAGAAUGAUCCUUAGGAACAUCUGUGAUUCAAAUCUGACAGUAAGACAAAAAGCUCAAUACCUCAUACCAUGAUGUAUGAAAUUCUUCAACAUGGGUCAAUAAAGCUGCAUCUUAACAGAGAUUUGGUCUGCAAAUGGGUAAGAAAGAAACGAUGGAGAUAUGAUCCCUGACAUGUCACAUAGCUUGAAGGCCCGAGCAUUUUAAAAUUGAUCCACAGAAAUUCCUUGUGCUGCAGCACAAUGCUGUCAAGUGGCAGAGGAAAGAGGCAAUAGUCAGAUCAAAAAGUGUCUCGCCUAAUGUGUAAACAAAUGAGAGGAUAAUUUCCGUUGAGCACUCUGAAGUGAGCCAGAAUUAUUACAAAAAUGGAUCUAUAAACAUAAUGUUGCUGGAGUCAAUGUUUAUUUGAGUCAGUGUUUAUUGUCCUUUGAUGACUUUUCUAUCAAACGUACUCUGUUUAUAAGUAGCACUGAAGUGUUCAGUAAAUACACUGGAAACUCAUCCUGAUUAGCAAGUUGGAUUCUUUCUGGCUCCAGCAUCAUUGCCAGUAAUAGGCUCAGGGAGCAGAGCUUCAUUAAACUUCUGUUGACAAUUCAUGUAGCACAUUGAAUCCUAGCUUCCUUUUGUAUGGCUGCUUGAGCUUGGCAAGCCUAAAGGGGUCAGAAGUUCAUGAAUCUCCUCACUUGGUGAACAGGGCUCUGAUCCAUAAAAGGGAAUAUUUUGGAACAAAUAUGGCUAAGAGCAAGUUCUAAGUUCAGGUGGGAUUCAUCUUUCUUAUCUUUCACUGUUUGAAUCUCAGGUAACUUGAUAAAGGUAAUCUUCAGGCUCCCAGAGAGGGAGAAGUUAACCGACCACAAGUCAUCCUCUCUGUGUUAGACAUUUCAAUAAAUGGAUGCCAAUUUGAAGGCAUCCAUCUCUCUACUUUGACUAUAGGGAAAACUUAAGAGAUUACAUGGGAUGUAUAACUCAAAUUACUCAAAUCUGGGGAGAGAAAUCUCUUCUAAGAGCCUGCUAGAGACUGCUUCAGUGAUAACUUCUCCACUCAAAGGUCAUGCUUCAUCUAAUAGUUUCAUAACAUUCAACCUUUGCUUGUAUUACAUUCAGUCUUUACUCAUUUGGGAAGAAUGAAUCAUGCAUAGCAGAACCUGAAGCUUUCUAUUACACAUCAGCAAGGUAUUAGGUCCCAAAACAGUUUUUAUUGAAUAGCCAAAUGUCAUUAACUGUAUUGAUGGGAAAGAGUGAAGGGUGAAAAGGUAUGUACACUGAUACUGCAGUUACCUUUGUACAGUGCUAACUCCAUCAGACUGUAUAACCUUCUGUAUAACUAGCAAGAUGAAAUAUACAGCCAUAUGCAUAUCUGCUUUCAUUCAGCUGUCAGUAACAAGUAAAGGACAACUCCUUUUUACCCUUGUCCCCUGCCUUCUUUUCAUAUACUCAUGGUACACACUUUUUUUUCCUUCAGGAUGAUGAUGAAAAUUCUAGAAGCUCAAGAGAAAAUCAUCUGAAGGGCAACACAAAUCUUCACACAAAGAAUAGCCUAUGUUUUGCCUGACAGUCUCUCCUUUUUUGUAUCCUGACAGAUGAACAUGAUGCACCAUAAAAGUUGUGAACUGAAAAUGAAAACAAGACAGAAUAGAAGAGUCUGAAUUGAAGAAAACCCAGAGAUCAAUACCAUAGCGUGAUAUAACCGUGUUCAUAGAAAUAAAAACUCUUGGAACAGAAAUUAUUUAUUACUCCAGAGCAGCAUAAUUUAAAUAUGUGAAAAUAGAGCAACAUUGAAGGGGAAGAUUAGAGCCAAAUUAUGUGUCCAGAUCUGUUUAGGGGAGAAUAUUUUUGUUCCCCAGGCUGGUUGGCCAUAACUUGACAAGAUCAGGUUUGAUGAAGGUUUGUAAGGUAUCAAAAGUGAUACUAAGAGAUGUUUGUCAUGUACUUUCUGUACGUCUUAAUUUUUCUUUCUCACCUCUGGCUAUCUACAGUAACUCCCUUGAAGUUUAGGAAUACAACAUUUCCCUGCUGAGAUUAUCCUCUCCCAGACAGUACAUACAAUUUAUCCUGUUUUACCUCAUCCCUGCUAUGUCUCAUUCAUUACAUCAGAGCCUAGACUGUCUCUAACUUUUUGUUUCUUCCUUUCGAAUGCAGGACUAUUACUGAAGACGUCAGCGGAGACACAGCAAGAUAUGGAAAAAGCCCAACAGAGUAGAAUAUCCCCAAAUGGGAGAACAGCGAAAAGCAGGAAGUUAUUCUCAGAAAAAAUGCUUUGUUCAUUCAGAGAACUGUGCUGCAUUAUUGGUUUUGUCAUGGACUUUGUUGGCUCUUGACCACCUAAUCAUUUAGUGCCUCUACUUCCUCCUUAAAGUAGGAUUAUUCUUAGUAAUGGUGGUUAUUUAUAGCAGUGCUGGAGUCUGAAAAGAGUAAUUUUUUCUGCUACUGCAACUGAAGAUUCUACACAGAGGGCUACUACCUUCCUUUCUGGUUUUCAACUGGCGCUCCCAUCUCCUUCAUAAAAGAAGGAUGUGAACAGAAGAGACUAGAGAUAUUUGAAUGGCAUCAAGAGCAACUUUCUGUAGAAUUUUUGAGUUCCUAAAUGAUUUGAUACAGGCUGCAAACACAGGCCUUUCAGGAUCGUUGUCAGCAAACACCAACAAGACAGAGACUUAAUUGUAUAUUCACCCACAGAAAAUUAGUUUGAAGAUUCUGUGUCCUUUCAUCUGGUGAAGGCAUGGUCAGUGUUUAAGAAAGACAAACCCUUGCACUUUGCCUGGAGUAGGUGCCUGGUGAAGAGUAUAUGAAGCUUAAAGACACCAAUUGGAAGAGGUCAGACACGCUCCAUGUUGGCUGAGUCUUGGGCAUUUCACGGUGUCAGAAUUCUGGCUCAAGCGAAGUUCUGGUUGUGUUUUGUUAAGUUGAAGACACAGUUGUCUCAGAAUACGUUGUGUUGUUACAUACUUGAGAACUGAAAAUCCUGGUUGGAUUCAGACCUGAUCUAGACAAGCAGCUCCUCUCUUCAGAAAGACCUAAAUCCAGACACUUGAUCUAAACAUGCCUGACCUGGAAAAAAGUUUACAUGCUCAUGCGGACAUGGAUGUGUGCUCAUAGCUUUCCUAGUGUGCAGAAGAUGUGUGGGAGAACAAAGAAAAGAACGUAUCAGUCCUGCAUUUCACAGCUGAGGAAAUCCAAAUCUGAAGUCUGAAGAAUAUUAUUGAUGUGACACAUCAGACAAAUCAUAAACAUUUUCUACCCUUUACUUCCUAACUUUAUCUCAUCUUAAUGAGGACUUAAGUGAUUUUUUUACAGUGCUAAAGGAUUGGAAUUUGCUGGAGGAAUGGAAAUUGCUUGUAUAAACUGCAAUGGGUUUUGAUUUAUCUAUGUUAUCUAGUGUUAUAUGUGCAGUUUCUAUGUGCUUUGUGUUCAUGUUCUGUUACUUCAAUUUUAGCUGUAUCUCCGCCAAGAACUUGAUAUCUCAAUAAGUUCAGAUAUCCUAGGAUCUGUGAAUCCCAAAAUAAGCAGACGUUGCAGAGAGUUGUGAGUGUGGUCAGCACACUGAAAGAGCACUCACUGGGUGCUUCUUGCUGGAUUGCAAGAAGAAAAGCAGAGGUGUGCAGAAUCCUGCUUCUUCAGGUGAUAGGCAGGUGCUUAUCACACCAGAUUGUAUGCGAAAUUAUUUUGAUCCACAAACUAAAGCUAUUUCAAAAAAACUCAGUGGAAAGAAAGUUGGUAUUGUACACCUCUGCACUGACAUCCCCAGGAAGUGCUAUAGUUGGAUGGGGAUCUCAAUAAAGACAAAUUCACUUUCUGCCCUCGGGAAAGACAGGUGGGGAUCAGCCUGGAUCCAUCUACUGGUUAUUUUUAAAAAGUACAUUGCUUAGAAAGCAUGUCUUCUAUGAAUCUAUCAUCACUCUACAGUACCAGGAGGGUUUAUAUCACCUCUGGGAGUUAUUGAGAAGGGGGAAAAGGAAGGAGUGAAAUGAGUAAUGAUACAGAGUUGUGGUUGGAUGGACUUUCAGUUCCAUGAGCAGUGCUUGCAGCCUGGUCUGUUCACUGGCUGUCAACUGUAGACAAACAAAGCUUUACACGGAAAGAAGGGCUCCAUGAAGUGCCUUCCAAGUACAGCUCUCAAUCCAUCAACUUGGCUACAAGCAUAACUUAUCUCUGUGUGAGGAGUCCCACAGGUUUCUGCUCCUGGUGGUCUGGGGAGUGCCACUUUGAGUCAAUGUAAAUAACUAUACCCUUCUUAGUUUACUUUAUUAAAUAGCCAACCUAAUCUUGUGGAAUCAACUUGCAACAAGGGGUGUUACUAAGAAUGAUUUAGAUUAUCGCUGUGAUGUGAUUGUUUUCAUCUUCUUGUGUGGAUAUCCAAGUAGAAGUGAAAAAAAAAUUAUGCAUAAUAGUAAUUUAUGUGGACAGUUGGACUGGAUGAUCUUGAAGGUCUUUUCCAUCCUUGGUGAUUCUAUGAUUCCAUGAUUCUAUGAAAUUCAGAGUCAUCAGUGGUGAUAAAUUCUACCUAAGAUUUCUCAAAAAACUGGCUGAGGACCUAACUGGAUCUAUUACAUUUUUUUUUCCUAAAUAUAAGAAUAUCACUAGAAUUCCCAAAGUGUGGAUGCUUAUUAACACUGUUCCAGAGUUUAGAAAGGGCAAGUGUGAUAGCUAAGAUAAGCAUAGAGCAAUUAACCUGAUAAGGUUCCUUGGCAAAAAAAAUGAAGAAAUUGAUAGAAGAAUCAGCUGAUACAAGAUUAAGUGUGGUAAUAGAAUUAAUACUAGUCAAUAUUUUUUUCAUGGAAAAUAGAUCUUGUCGAGGAAACCUAAUUUAAUUCUUUGAUGAGAUUAUAAGUUUGGUCGAUGAGAGAAACUGCAAAGACAUAACAGACUUUUGUGUGGCAUUUCACUCAGCACCACAUUAAAUUCUUUUAACAAAAAUCUCUAUGCAGUAUCAUGAAGUGAACACUGAAUAGAUAAAAGCUGACUGUCUGACAAAUUUAAAUGCUAUCUGUUAGUAAGGAAACAUCAAUGAAUGAAAAUGUUUCUAAAUGGGUAACCAGAGGAUUCAAUAUUAAAUCCAGUUCUAUUCAACAGUUUCAUCUACUAUGUGACAGUAAAUAAUAAUAAAAUCAUAAGAGAUGAACCACUGAGCAGCAAAAAUGAUGACUUGUUAGCCACAUGGAGCAAUCAGCUUCCAUGGGAUCAGCUAGGAGUAUUCCCUGUCCAAGUCAAUUAUGUAUCCAUAUAGGAAGAGACUCAGUGUCUCAGUGUGAUCACCUCAAAGAUACACUCCAGUUAUGUGAGUUAUCUGGCUUAAUCCAGGGAUAACUGGGUGAAAUAAUAUGGCCUGUGGUAGGCAGAAGGUUGGAUAAGCUGAGAUACUGUCCCUUUCUGGUGUUAAUCUCUGUAUCUAUGAAUAUAUGAGUUUGAUACUGUGAAUAUAUUUGUUCUUGACUAACUAUGUCUACUUUGAAUUAUUAAAGCUUUCCACCUCUUCAGUGGCACGUAUUUCCAGCUGGAGAUCAGAAACAGUGGUACACACUGCAGGCAAUUGCUCAUCUGACCUGAGAAAUGGUUUACUGAUAGCGUUUGUCUGUAAGGAGUUACAGUAGAUAAUACUUGUACAGCCCAUAUCAUUUAUUAUUUCCACAGUGUUAGUGGAAUCAUUCCAAAUAUUUAUAUCAGAGCUCCAUGAUAGUUCUCAACAGCAGCAGCAAAGGCUUUAACUUGCCAAAAUAUUUUUUUGCCUUUGACAUCAAAGAGUUCAUUCCUUUCUACUACCCAGGUAGAGUAGCAAGCUGAAACUUCAUCUGCUGACUGUGCUACACAACAGUAUGCUUCUAAAGGCUGCUGCAUAGAAGUGCUAGUUUUAGCACUUCUUUUCUACUUUUAUUAGUCUUCCAUUUUGCAGUGUGCAGACUGUUAAACUUAUUUGUCCUGCUUAUAGAUUAUUAUUCCUUAUUCAACACGCUCAUAUGAAUAAUCAUUGCCAUAUUGGGUGCAUUUUUUCAGUGUCUUGAAAAGUUCCCUAUUUUAGUGUUCCCCAACCACUGUUCUUAUUUACAGACUUGAAAGGCAAAAUGUAUUCAACAGUUGAAGUAUAAUUAUUGUAAUGUCUUUGCAAGGUAUUCAACACUGUGAUCUCCAGCCCAUCAUUAAGAUAUGCAUUUAGCUUAAAUCAUGAAGUAUGUAAGAUACAGCUUCAUGCAUAGUGACUUUUUACAAAAUAUUACUAUACCAAACAUUUUUUCUUCAUACAGACUUUUAAAAAUAAUAAAUGUAUUGCCCUUAGUAAAACCCUUAGAUGUGCCAUGUGUGUGAAAUGCAUGCUUGCAGCACUGCAAACUGCUUCCCCUGGGUUGCUUGCAGUGAGUUUGAAAAUUUAAGAUGUGUGUGUUUCCUUAGUGUUUUCUGAGUCCAACAAUAUAGAAGUACUUCAUCUGAAACUCAUCUGUUUCAGCAUACUGCCUCCUGCUCUCUGAUGAUGCAUGAGAUCCUGGAGAGAGUGUGGUCUUUGAGCAGAGAUCAUCAUUUUGUUCAUGCAGAUUCCUUAGUAACUUGCUUUUUGAGUCACAGCAUUGAGGAUGCAUUUUCUCUCAUCUUACUGUCAGUUCCCUCAUUGCUGGUGUGGUUUUUACCAGUGGCUGCAUCUGCACCAUGCCUGAC
ensembl:lncRNA